rnacentral:rRNA from 1 species
UCCAGACUCCUACGGGAGGCAGCAGUGGGGAAUAUUGCACAAUGGGGGAAACCCUGAUGCAGCGACGCCGCGUGAGUGAAGAAGUAUUUCGGUAUGUAAAGCUCUAUCAGCAGGGAAGAAAAUGACGGUACCUGACUAAGAAGCCCCGGCUAACUACGUGCCAGCAGCCGCGGUAAUACGUAGGUGGCGAGCGUUAUCCGGAUUUACUGGGUGUAAAGGGCGUGUAGGCGGGAGAGCAAGUCAGAUGUGAAAACUACAGGCUUAACCUGUAGCCUGCAUUUGAAACUGUUCUUCUUGAGUGAUGGAGAGGCAGGCGGAAUUCCUAGUGUAGCGGUGAAAUGCGUAGAUAUUAGGAGGAACACCAGUGGCGAAGGUGGCCUGCUGGACGACAACUGACGGUGAGGCGCGAAAGCGUGGGGAGCAAACAGGAUUAGAUACCCCGGUACA